rnacentral:rRNA from 1 species
CGAACGCUGGCGGCGCGUCUAAGCAUGCAAGUCGACGGCAAGGGUUGUGCUUGCACAACUCCUAGAGUGGCGGACUGGUGAGUAACGCGUGGGUGACCUGCCCUCGAGAUGGGGAUAGCCAUUAGGAAAUAGUGGAUAAUACCGAAUACGCUCAUGACCCUGUGGGGAUAUGAGGAAAACAGGCUACGGGCCUGGCUCGAGGAUGGGCCCGCGUCCCAUUAGCUAGUUGGUGAGGUAACGGCCCACCAAGGCGACGAUGGGUAUCCGGCCUGAGAGGGUGUACGGACACAUUGGGACUGAGAUACGGCCCAAACUCCUACGGGAGGCAGCAGCUAAGAAUAUUCCGCAAUGGACGAAAGUCUGACGGAGCGACGCCGCGUGGAUGAAGAAGGCCGGAAGGCUGUAAAGUUCUUUUCGGGAGGGGGAACAACCGUGGCAGGGAAUGGCCGCGGGAUGACGUGAAUCCCGGAAUAAGCCCCGGCUAACUACGUGCCAGCAGCGGC